UUACGGCCAUACCGCGUUUAAAAAUCGAUUCUCGUAUGAUCGUCGAAGUUAAGCAACGAUUGAGAAUGGUCAGUACCUAGAUGGGUGACCGCUUGGGAAUACGAGGUGCUGUAAG